CUGUCUCUUCUCAAGUUAACACACCGUACUGUGAGCUUCACAGUUAAACUCCCAGUUAUUGCUGUUUUCUCUGGAGACCCUCCAAAGCAAACCCUUUAAAUGGUAUCCAGCCAGAAUGUGAACGGGUUUGAGACUGUGAAUAUUAUCACAAUUCAGCUGUGUAGCCUCCAAUAUUGUUUUGCACUUUUUCUUUUCUGUUUUUUAUUCAUACACAGAUUUAUUGCUAUCCUCACUUGACUCAAAAUAAGGACUCAAAAGUGGCAGCCUUUAAUUUAUGAAAUUCUCCAACCUUGAGGCAGUAGUUUUCAUCUCAGUUGAUCAUUCUUGAGCCUAUAAUUUGAUUUUAAGUCAUCUUUGGCAUCUGUCCCUACUCAUUGGUAGUGAGACCUUAAAUGAUAACAGUGGGAGGAAACAAUUAAUUGUUUAUACUGUAGACCAUAUUGUAAAAGAACAGAAGCAUGUACAUGAUUUGUCUCUGGGUUUUAAUUAUCAGUUGCUAUAUCCAAUUCUACCUGUCAUUCAGUUUUGUUACUUGAUUACAAAAAGAUCCAACUCAAGAUUAUGUUCUUAUUCAAAAAUACAUGUUUAGUUUUAGUGCAGAAAAUGGAGAAGGUGGGCAAUAAUCUUACCCCAAGAGAGUUUUAUUUUUUUAAUUAAAGGCAGUAUAUUGGUGUAUUCUGGUGUAUUCCAUAGCAAGAGGGAGUUCUAAGAGAAUUAGAUUAAAAAUCUUUGCUAAUGUUAAUCAUCUUGUUUUGUUUUCAGAGAACUGGUACAUUUGUGCAACAGACAGCAGUUGAAAAUUGCUUGUAUCAAAAGGAUCACACAGAGUGAGAGACAUGGAUUUUAUAGGGAGGGAAAAUGUCUUUCAUUCUAGUUGGAGGAAAGAAAUUAAGUCUUUUGGAUUGUUCAUAUUAAUGGCAGUAUGACCCUGGCAAGAAUUUUCUUUGCAAGUCUUCUUUAUAUCAGUGGGCACCUGGACUUGUAAAGAGCAUCACAUUAUUCUGCUAUCCUAGUAAAAACAUAUACAUGUUUUUCUGUUCACUUUGACAGUCUCUCUAAAAUAAUCUUUGCAGAUAGAAGAAAUCACCUUCCCACUGGGUGGAUUCUCCUUACAAAUGUGCUAAUUUGAGCUUUUUCCUUUUCCUGACUUGCAAGAGUUAAGGCUUUAAGCACUUCUCUCAAGAUUGAGGCUGUAAUGCUGGGGGGGGUGGUGGUUGGCUGCUUUUCUUCUAGUGGCUGGUCUGAGUUGUUCCAUUGCUGAAUUGCUGGAAUUUUAUAUGCUGUAAGAUUUGUGUUAUAAAGGAAAGCCGAGUGAGAGGACUGUCUUCAUGGCAAAACCAUACUUACUGCACAGAGCAGCAAUGAGUUGUAUAUGUAUGUCUCCCUCAGUUUCUUUCUGCAUGGAUUAGGAGAGGUCCAUUGAUAGCAGUGAAAAGGGAAUUUUUUUUGUUUGAGAUUUGGAGGUUUUUUUGGUAUGUUUGGGUUUUGACACAUUUUUGUUCAGAUGACUUUGACUACUAAGGAAAUGGAUGGAAUCAGAAUGGAGAUCUGUUUUCUGUAGUGAAAAUGAUCCAGAUCAUCAGUUCUAGCUUGAAAUUCACUUAGGGAAUCAAGAGUAUUCAUAUUUUGUUUUUAGGGACAAAGCUAAGGAAAGAGAUUAUUGGUUUUCAGAACAUCAGUUACAACCAGGCUAGUGUGCCAUUAAAAGCAGUUCAGUUCCUGUUAAUAAUAGGGAAAAACUGAUUAGUGGCUGUGCAUAAAUAAAAUAAAAGUAUUAACUGGAAAGAAGAUGUCAAACAAGUUCAGAUGGCAUCUUAGCAUUCUACAUUCUUAGAGAUGGAAGAAUAGAGUAUUCCUGGAAAAAUAUCUAAGCAAGAUUAUAGAGUCUGUCAACACCAGUCUAGUUCACUGUAUUAGAUACCUUCUGCAAUGCCAAAGCAUUACUGCAUUUAAAUCAAAGUCCUUUAAGUUAGCAAAAUACUUUUUUUAUAGACAGAAUAGUCUGUUCAAGAUGUUAGAGCCAUCCCAGUCUCCAGUUUAUUUCUACAAUAGUUCUGCAUGGGGGAAUGUUACAAAGUUUCAGUCAAAGUAAUAAAUUGCAAAAGGAAAUGGUGGUAGAUGGCCCAGACGGUCAUUGAAGCCUUAGUUACUGAAAGGCAUUUUUCAAAGAAACACGAGAGGUGACUUUGGUUCAAGAAUUCAGAAACAAUAAAGCUGAAGUGGAAUUUCUGUUUAGUCAUCAGGCAAGCUGGAGAUGGCAAAAUAACUUGAGCAGGUUCUCUUUCUUUUUUUACCCUGCUAUAAUGUGAAUUCCUAAGCCUCAUAAGGCCGUUUAUAUUUUGCACAGCAUACUUUCAGAAGAGGGAUUAAAUCAUGCUUGCUUUGAGAUAAGUGUAAAGUUGCACUUGACAUUCUUGAUUUCUGUAUUAGGAGAAAGCAUGCAGCCUCCUUGUGUGAGGUAAGGCUGUGUGUGGAAGGUCUGCCUUAGGGACCGAAGAAAACAAAUAGUCUGCAGCUCUGGAUCUACCUGUGAGCUCCUGCUGUAACUAGUUCAUCGUUUGGUGUGUGCACAGGACUCCAUCAGAAAACCUACAACAUUGUGGAACUGGUGUCUAGGAAGAUAAGACCUCUGAUCCCCACCAGCAGAAUUGGUCCCCCCAGCCCAGUUAAGCACACAGACUGCAAUAAUGGCUAAUGACAGAAUUCUAUAAAAGUACAAUUCUUCAUAAACAGGUACUUGGUUAGCAUGUUAAAAUGUUAGUUACUUGAGAAAAGGUCAAAUGCAUGAAAAUGCAGGUUUGGGACAAGAUAGUUCUCUGCAGUGUGUGGGGCCUUCUGCUGGGUAGUCAUCUCACUCUCCCAGGGAGGCCCUCACCACCCCCUUGGCAGGAGCAGUUACAAAAAGGGAUUUGAAGAUCCUGGAGGAAGUAAGGAUGUGCCUGCAGCAGGGAGGAACAGGCACACUGUGGGUGCAUCGCUGCCAGCAUGGCCAGCACAUACAGGGCUGUUCAGCAUGUGUGAGACCACAGGGCUGGCCUCCCUCUUCCAGGACAGACAUGGACACUGUGGAGUGAGUUCAGCGAAGGGCCAACGUGAUGGCAGGGACUGGAGCAGAUGAUAUGCCAAGAGCUGGUUUUAGUCUGGAGUAGAGAAGGCAAAGGGGGAAUCCUCCAGCCUUGUAAUUGGAGGGCACGGAGAGGAUGGAGAGAGGUGCAGUGAAAGGACAAGUUCAUGAAAAAAUUCAGUUUGCUCUUAGGAAAAAUUUCUCCAUGAGGUUGGUCAAACACUGCAACAGGUCACCCAGACAGAGUGUGGGACUUUUCAUCCUUGGAGUUGCUCAGAAGUCAACUGGGCACAGCCCUGAGAAACCUGAUCUAACUGUGAAGUAAAGUGCUUUGAGCAGAUGACUGGACCAAAUAACUUUCAGAGUUCCCUUCCAACCUGAACUAUUCUGUGAUUCUACUGGAAAGAGGAACAGUGCUCCUGUCUAGAAGAACAGCAGUGGAUGAGCCAUGAAUGAGAAGGCAGGAACCUGACUGCUUCUAGAGAUGGGCAUGGAGGAGAAAGUCUGGAAAAGGGGAAGAUUUUAGAGCCUUUUCCUUUUCAGAAAUCUAGGAGUGCAAGAACAAACAUCUCUUGUACUGUUUAUACAAGCAUAUCCUGGCACAGCAGCAGGUUUUCCUCUGUGACCUGCAGGGUAGAAAUGUGCAAGUGCUUUCAACACCAGCUGCCAUAUUGUCACAUAUUAAAUAUCAGAGCGGGAUCUAUCUACCCAGAGCUGAUUAUAUAUUUUACGGAUGUAAAAUUCAGUAAAGAGGCAAGAUUGAUUCACAGUCUCUCAUAUAACAUACUAGAAACAACUUUUUAUUGCAAGAAGUGUGUUUGAAAUAAUACCGAGCAAAUUUAUUGCUUUAUUGAAUUUAGAGAACAUUUCUAAAGAAUUUGUUCCACUUGGUGUUAGGAUUUUUCAUCAUGAUUUAGUGGAGGACAGGUCUGAAUUCUUACAAGAUUAAAUUUGUCAUCAACAAGUCAUAUCUAUUAGGGGAGCUAUAGGAUGUUUUUAAGGGAUGAGCUUUAUAAUUUAAACAUAUCAUUGCAUUGACUUGAUUACCCUGAUUUGUAUUUGCAAAUGCAUGCUGUUAUCUCCCAGUAUGGCUUCAGUUAAACUUCAUCUGGGAUUGACAAGCUGCCUGGCUGCAUCCUGGUGAGUGUCCAGGUGGGGGCAAUAAUCUACAAGAGCAUUUUGAGAAAUUGCGUCCUGAAGGAACUCCCUGGUAGACACGACCCAGCCAUGUUGCAGGUUUAUGGUCAUGAUUAGAGGAUUGCUCACUUGAGGAUGACUGGCAAAUCAGUCUCCUGGAUUUUGUCUUUUUGUUUGUCUUUUCUUUUGUAUAUGAACAAGAAAUGUUCAUAACCUGAACAGGAGCUAUGACAGUCUUCUCUUGCAAAGAUGCGAGAGUUAAUUGUGCAUUGAUGAAUUUUUCUUGUGUUCUAUUCUGUGUCUAAGGGUUGUUUUUUGCAUGUACGUACAGUGGUGGGAUUCUUUGUAUAGGUGAUGUCUGUGUCCCUUGAAAACUGUCCACCAACAGGAGUAGCUCUGUUCUUCCUGACUUUUAAAGUUAAAUGAGGAAGCUCCUCUCUUUACAUGGCACUUCCUCUCCGCCUCUGCCAACUAGUGCCCGUUCUGAUCCUUUGCCAUUAAUUAGGAUUUUGUUCCACUGAAAUCCGUAUUUUAGUCCUCCACAUGAGAUGAAAUGUGGUGGUAGGUAAAGAUUUUAUUGAAAAAGGGUAGAUGCAGUCCCCCUGCCUUGCGGAUAUUAUGUGAUUUAUAUUACAGAAGCAACUAGAAGUUUGCUAGGCAUGGUACAGCAGUAUACGUUAGAUCUCUGGGGCAAAUACCGCUGUUUAAGAGACAAGUACCUAAAGAAGGAUAAAAGGGCAAAAUACUCUAGUUUGAUAGUCCCUAGCAACAUCUAUUUAAAUAUCUCAUAUUUGCAGUUCACUCUGUUUAAUAGCCUUCAGGAUUUUGUAUGAUUAUUAGACAUAAGUAUUAGUAUUUUCCUGCUGUACUGUCCUCCUCUUUUAAAUAAAAUUGGGAAAUGUGAGAUGCUGUUAAUGCCUUAGGCAUCCAGAUUCCUCUGGGUUUUAGUUAUUAUCCAUGGAUGCCGGUUAUGAGUGGGAGGUGUUCUGAUGCUCAGUUAUGAAGUGCACUGAUGCAUGAAAUAAUCUCUAAUCUUGUGCCAUCACAUUUAUUAGAAUAUAGUGUUGUUUCUUAUUUCCCUCUUCAUGUUCACCUUCUAAGCUACUACUGGACUUGCUUCUAAUUUGGGGUUGGUUUGGGGGUUGGGUUUUUUUUAUGAUCCUACCUUACACAGUCUUAAAGAGGAAUUUAUAUAUAUAUAUAUAUAUAUAUAUAUAUAUAUAUUUGGGUGGUUUAUAUAUAUAUAUAUAUUUAUACUGUGUGGCUUUCCCAGCAUAUAUUUUUAGCCUUACGUUAAAUAAAAUGUAUUUUCACUCCUUCCGUUAGUCACAGCGGAUUUGGAAUGCCUACAAUAAACCAGGAUGGAUUUUUGCCCCCUGUUCCUAAUUGCCUUAUUGAAGGAUGAAAUAAAUCUGAGUAUUUAAAUAUAACCAACUUGAUUUUGUGAAGCGUAUACUCAAUGCUUAAAUGCAAAAGCAUAAGUGCCCUUACUUUGAGGCAAGAUAUUAAUUCUCAAACCUUAAUUUGUGCCCUGUAUUUUAGUUUUGUGGAGUUUAUUCAGCAAAAUUUCUGCCUCUUAGAUAGUUGAUUCCUUUAUCUGUACUCAGUUAAAAUGUUUUGUUUAUCUCAGUUUAGUGACACUUUUGCCAGCUUGAUGUGCUGUCUUGUCUUUGCCACUAAUUAUCCCUCAGUACCUUUGCCUGCAAACCAAUUAACUCAUCUUCCUGAGCAAGUCAGUUACAGUUAACAUCACCUUAAAAAUAAUCUUCCUUAUCUCAACUGCCGCUGUACUGGGUUCAACACGUCCAGUUUUGUGAUCUUUUAUGAGAUGUAAUGUCCAUUUAUCUGUUGUCUGACCUCCAAUUGCCCCCUAGCUGAUUUAUGUAUGUAAUAAAUUUAAUUUCCCUGUCACUGGACUGUAUACAACCACUAGCCUGCAUGUGCAGUGCAUCCACAUCUUCUCUCUUUAUCCUUACAUUAUAAUUUUUAAGUCUAAUAAAUAUUUAAUAAAGCUAAUCUCUUUCCAGAC